CUUUGUUGCCAGCGGUCCGGCCGGGAACUCAAAGGAGACUGCCAGUGAUAAACUGGAGGAAGGUGGGGAUGACGUCAAGUCAUCAUGGCCCUUACGACCAGGGCUACACACGUGCUACAAUGGCGCAUACAAAGAGAAGCGACCUCGCGAGAGCAAGCGGACCUCAUAAAGUGCGUCGUAGUCCGGAUUGGAGUCUGCAACUCGACUCCAUGAAGUCGGAAUCGCUAGUAAUCGUGGAUCAGAAUGCCACGGUGAAUACGUUCCCGGGCCUUGUACACACCGCCCGUCACACCAUGGGAGUGGGUUGCAAAAGAAGUAGGUAGCUUAACCUUCGGGAGGGCGCUUACCACUUUGUGAUUCAUGACUGGGGUGAAGUCGUAACAAGGUAACCGUAGGGGAACCUGC
rnacentral:rRNA from 4 species